GGAUUGGAUUUUGAAAGAGCCGGUCUUGAAAACCGGUGAACCCUUACGGGUUCCGUGAGUUCGAAUCUCACCCCCUCCG
rnacentral:tRNA from 1 species